UCCUCUUCCUCCUCCUCCCGCUCCUCGAUGCUCCGCCGCUCGCGGCUGGGGGGUCCGGGGCCGCGUCUCCUCUCCUCCCUCCGCCUCUCCUCUUUCCUCCUUCCUGCUGCCUCUUCUUUUAAAGCGGAUUCUUUGGCCACAAAUAGCAACUCGGCUGCCCCCCUCGGUGCCUCCCUCCCCUUCUCUUCUUCCCCCCAAAAGUGAAGCGCACGCGAGGUAAAGAAACGAAGACCCUGAGAAUUUAAAAUCAUCCAACUAUUUGGUGCCAGAAGCAGGACAAGAACUCAGACAUCAUGAUCCAGUGCCCUCCAUCCCACCAGCUAUUCAUCAUCACCUCCACAUUCUGGAUCAAAGAAGCCAGUUUUCCAACUUAUCAAUGAGCAAUACAUAUAGAAUAUUUUUAAAACUCCAAAUACUUUUAUGAAGGAAAAAUGAAGCAAUAGGACAAGACAUUUUCUUCGUUUCCUUCCAGCUCUAACAUUCUGUGAUAAAUAGCACACAGGAGCUUUGCUAUAGCACUACCCCCUCUAGUGCAUAAUUCAGCAUACGAUGAGUAUGAGUCUGUUUUGGACCCCAUCCAAAGGAGUUAGUUCCUAGAAGUACUUGGAAGAUUUAUUCUCAUUUAUCAUGAGGCAUCCUAACAGGAGACUAAAAAUAAUCACGAUGACAAUAAUAGUAAUCAGUUGUUACACUUGUAUUAUGUACUAAGCAUCGUGCUAAGCAUGUUAAAGUUCACCUGUUUUUGAAAAGGCACUUCAUGACCUUAUGUGGGUUGCGAAUCUAGUGGGUCAUAAACAAUUUCUGAAAUGAAAGAAAAGUAGGAAAAAACACAGAGUGCAUUAUACAUACUAAGUUGUUUUAUUUUUUAUUUUUUUAUUUUUUUUGCAAAACUUCCUUUUUGAUCAUGUGGCUAGUGAUUAAAAGUUUGGAAGCACUGCCUCGUUUCCAAUCUUAACUGCCUUGCUAGUUAAGUAUUAUUAGCCCCAUUAUAUAAGUGAGGAAACAGGACGAGAGAGGAUAAGUAAUUUGGCCAAGCUGACACAGUGAGUGGCCAAGCUAGAAUUUUGAACCUAGAUCUGUUUGACUUCAAAUCCAAUAUUUUCACUUCUAUAGUGAUGAUAAAUUAUUGACCAAGGUAUGGAAUAAAUUGUUGCUAAUCAUGUUUUCUUUGUGAG
rnacentral:lncRNA from 1 species